rnacentral:ncRNA from 1 species
UGACGAAACGCCACACCCGGAGCAAUCCGGGGCCGGGAAGCUACGGGCUCCACCACGGGCUUUCAAUCUGGUGGGCCGCCGAGCCGCCGAAC